rnacentral:rRNA from 1 species
UACGGGGGGAGCAAGCGUUGUUCGGAUUUACGUGGCGUAAAGGGUGCGUAGGCGGCGCGGUAAGUCGGGUGUGAAAUCUCGGAGCUUAACUCCGAAACUGCAUUCGAUACUGCGGUGCUUGAGGACUGGAGAGGAGACUGGAAUUCAUGGUGUAGCAGUGAAAUGCGUAGAGAUCAUGAGGAAGACCAGUGGCGAAGGCGGGUCUCUGGACAGUUCCUGACACUGAGAUACGAAGGCCAGGGGAGCAAACGGG